CCUACGGGAGGCAGCAGUGAGGAAUAUUGGUCAAUGGCCGUAAGCCUGAACCAGCCAAGUCGCGUGAGGGAUGAAGGUUCUAUGGAUCGUAAACCUCUUUUAUAAGGGAAUAAAGUGUGGGACGUGUCCUGUUUUGAAUGUACCUGAUGAAUAAGGAUCGGCUAACUCCGUGCCAGCAGCCGCGGUAAUACGGAGGAUCCGAGCGUUAUCCGGAUUUAUUGGGUUUAAAGGGUGCGUAGGCGGCCUUUUAAGUCAGCGGUGAAAGUCUGUGGCUCAACCAUCGAAUAGCCGUUGAAACUGGGGGGCUUGAGUGUGUUGGAGGCAGGCGGAAUGCGUGGUGUAGCGGUGAAAUGCUUAGAUAUCACGCAGAACCCCGAUUGCGAAGGCAGCGUGCCAAGCCGUGACUGACGCUGAUGCACGAAAGCGUGGGGAUCAAACAGGAUUAGAUACCCGAGUAGUC
rnacentral:rRNA from 1 species